GGGAAUGUAGCUCAGUUGGUAGAGUGCUUGCCUAGUGAGCAGAAAUCCCUGGGUUUGAUCCCCAGCACCA
rnacentral:tRNA from 1 species